rnacentral:rRNA from 1 species
UACGGAGGGUGCAAGCGUUAUCCGGAUUUACUGGGUUUAAAGGGUGCGUAGGCGGACUUUUAAGUCAGGGGUGAAAUCCCGGGGCUCAACCCCGGAACUGCCUUUGAUACUAUUGGUCUUGAAUGUUGUGGAGGUGGGCGGAACGGGUCAUGUAGCGGUGAAAUGCAUAGAUAUGACCCGGAACACCGAUUGCGAAGGCAGCCCGCUACGCAACGAUUGACGCUGAGGCACGAAAGCGUGGGAUCAAACAGG